rnacentral:lncRNA from 1 species
UGCUAGUUCAGAACUUUCCUUCAGGAGAAAAAGUCAUUCAACCACAAAAUGCUUGUUAGGAGACUUUAAAAGAGAAUCUCAAAGAUACUUCCAGAACUCUUAGAAAAGAUGUUCAAAAGCCAUUGUUUAGGUUGGUAGUAACUUUACAUGUUUUCUGUUGUUCCAAAUUUAUAGUUUCUUGAUAUCCAACAAAACUAGUAUUUAAAAAGAAACAAUCUGCAAUCCUAUGUCAGACUAGAAAACUCUCAAACCUGAAAGGUCAAAAAACUGUCAAAAGAACCUUAAAUGU